CGGACGGGUGAGUAAUGUCUGGGAAACUGCCUGAUGGAGGGGGGUAACUACUGGAAACGGUAGCUAAUACCGCAUAACGUCGCAAGACCAAAGAGGGGGACCUUCGGGCCUCUUGCCAUCGGAUGUGCCCAGAUGGGAUUAGCUAGUAGGUGGGGUAACGGCUCACCUAGGCGACGGUCCCUAGCUGGUCUGAGAGGAUGGCCAGCCACACUGGAACUGAGACACGGUCCAG
rnacentral:rRNA from 1 species